GGUCGGCGUACUCUUAACUGGUAAAGCGGCAUAAACCCUUCAGGGUCACAUGUUUAUGCGGGUUCGACCCCCGCCACCGACCU
rnacentral:tRNA from 2 species